rnacentral:rRNA from 1 species
CUACGGGGGGUGCAAGCGUUAAUCGGAAUUACUGGGCGUAAAGCGUACGUAGGCGGUUAGUUAAGUUAGAUGUGAAAGCCCCGGGCUUAACCUGGGAACUGCAUUUAAAACUGGCUAACUAGAGUUAAGUAGAGGGGAGUGGAAUUUCAGGUGUAGCGGUGAAAUGCGUAGAGAUCUGAAGGAACACCAGUGGCGAAGGCGACUCCCUGGACUUGAACUGACGCUGAGGUACGAAAGCGUGGGUAGCAAACGGGAUUAGAAACCCUUGUAGUCC